rnacentral:piRNA from 1 species
UNCAAUGGCAGGUCAUAUCCUCCAGGUA